CCUACGGGUGGCUGCAGUGGGGAAUAUUGGGCAAUGGGCGCAAGCCUGACCCAGCAACGCCGCGUGAAGGGAGAAGGCUUUCGGGUUGUAAACUUCUUUUGUCAGGGACGAAGCAAGUGACGGUACCUGACGAAUAAGCCACCGCUAACUACGUGCCAGCAGCCGCGGUAAUACGUAGGUGGCAAGCGUUAUCCGGAUUUACUGGGUGUAAAGGGCGUGUAGGCGGGGAGGUAAGUCAGAUGUGAAAACCACGGGCUCAACCGGUGCACUGCAUUUGAAACUGUUUUUCUUGAGUACUGGAGAGGUAAGCGGAAUUCCGGGUGUAGCGGUGAAAUGCGUAGAUAUACGGAGGAACACCAGUGGCGAAGGCGGAUUGCUGGACAGUAACUGACGCUGAGGCGCGAAAGCGUGGGGAGCAAACAGGAUUAGAUACCCGGGUAGUC
rnacentral:rRNA from 1 species